AGAUUGAACGCUGGCGGCAGGCCUAACACAUGCAAGUCGAGCGGCAGCACGGGUACUUGUACCUGGUGGCGAGCGGCGGACGGGUGAGUAAUGCCUAGGAAUCUGCCUGAUAGUGGGGGAUAACGUUCGGAAGCGGACGCUAAUACCGCAUACGUCCUACGGGAGAAAGCAGGGGACCUUCGGGCCUUGCGCUAUCAGAUGAGCCUAGGUCGGAUUAGCUAGUUGGUGAGGUAAUGGCUCACCAAGGCGACGAUCCGUAACUGGUCUGAGAGGAUGAUCAGUCACACUGGAACUGAGACACGGUCCAGACUCCUACGGGAGGCAGCAGUGGGAAUAUGGACAAUGGGCGAAAGCCUGAUCCAGCCAUGCCGCGUGUGUGAAGAAGGUCUUCGGAUUGUAAGCACUUUAAGUGGAGAAGGCAGUUACCUAAUACGUAUCUGUUUUGACGUUACCGACAGAAUAAGCACCGGCUAACUCUAGUG
rnacentral:rRNA from 1 species